rnacentral:snRNA from 1 species
GAACAGGCUGUUGUGCUCCCUUCGGAACGAUACAGACAUCAGUGUGGGCCCUGCGCAAGGAUGACACGCAAAUUCAUGAAGCGUUCCAUAGUUUU